UACGAAGGGGGCUAGCGUUGCUCGGAAUCACUGGGCGUAAAGCGCAUGUAGGCGGCUUUCUAAGUCAGGGGUGAAAUCCUGGAGCUCAACUCCAGAACUGCCUUUGAUACUGGAGAGCUUGAGUCCGGGAGAGGUGAGUGGAACUCCGAGUGUAGAGGUGAAAUUCGUAGAUAUUCGGAAGAACACCAGUGGCGAAGGCGGCUCACUGGCCCGGUACUGACGCUGAUGUGCGAAAGCGUGGGGAGCA
rnacentral:rRNA from 1 species